rnacentral:rRNA from 1 species
CCUACGGGAGGCUGCAGUGGGGAAUAUUGCACAAUGGGCGCAAGCCUGAUGCAGCCAUGCCGCGUGUGUGAAGAAGGCCUUCGGGUUGUAAAGCACUUUCAGCGGGGAGGAAGGCGGUGAGGUUAAUAACCUCAUCGAUUGACGUUACCCGCAGAAGAAGCACCGGCUAACUCCGUGCCAGCAGCCGCGGUAAUACGGAGGGUGCAAGCGUUAAUCGGAAUUACUGGGCGUAAAGCGCACGCAGGCGGUCUGUCAAGUCGGAGGUGAAAUCCCCGGGCUCAACCUGGGAACUGCAUUCGAAACUGGCAGGCUAGAGUCUUGUAGAGGGGGGUAGAAUUCCAGGUGUAGCGGUGAAAUGCGUAGAGAUCUGGAGGAAUACCGGUGGCGAAGGCGGCCCCCUGGACAAAGACUGACGCUCAGGUGCGAAAGCGUGGGGAGCAAACAGGAUUAGAUACCCGUGUAGUC